GCCCGGGGCUGCCAGGGUCCCGCAGUGGAGCUGCCAGGAGCUGGCCACUCCAGCAGGACCUGGUGGUCUCCCAUCGAACAUUCAUCUCCUGGUGCCUGGUUCACUUGCUUAGGGAAGGUGUCGGUGAUCCCAGGAUUCAAAAGCUGCCCGCCAAGUCCUUUCGGAGACAACCAGUGGAACUCCCGUCCCAAGCAGAACGAAUCAGCGCCUAUGCCUCAGCCUCAUCCCAGACACACAUCUAGCACUUUGUCUCAAGAUCUUACUCAGCCUGUGUUUUCUACAGAUGGGGAAGGGAUAAGGACAGUGAUUUUUUCCCAAGGUUUUGUGAUGAUUAAAAGGUGAUACGUGCAGAACACUUUAGCACAUACGUGGCUCAUAACAGGCAACAGAGGACAGUUACUGGGGAUGUGUUCACAGACACAAGGGUCAAGGACUUCUCCAUCAAUACUAGAUAAUUAAACAAAUUAAGCAUUCUGUGUCAGUGUAGGCAUGCACUGCAAGCUCCUCUGCCUUCUCAUCGAGUGUGUCGAGCAUAACUUGACCUUCUGACCUCCAGGUCAUCAGAAUGUGCUCUUGUUUCAAGCUAGAUGGCCACGAGCCCUGACAGAUGAGGUUCCCUCCUCAAAAGUGCUUGCACGGUCAGUUUCUUUUGGACGUUAGCUUCUCAGAAGCACACGUCAAAGUGCACAAUUGCCUGGGCCCCAUGGUGUGUCUCCCCAGCAAUGUCACCUGGUUGCUUUCUGCAAAAUUACCUUUUGAAUUUUUGUCUGAAGCACUCUAUAUUCCUCCAAUCCCUCCAGAAAAGCUUCUUGGUUGCUCUCAAACACUUUUGCGUUUUCAGAGCCACGGAGAGGGGAAGAAGCUUGAAUUACAGGCUGGGGCACUCGGGAAGCAGUCCGGGAGACAGGCAUGGCCACAGCUGCUCUGGGAGCCCAGUGGAUGUGUCUGCUUUUCUUCCUCGGUCUUGCCCCUGGUACCCAGCUCCUCAGGGAUGGGCAUCAAGUCCGCCCACCAUAUGAGGAGUCUGGGUGGGGUGAUUUGGGUAUACCCUCUCCCAAUCCUGAAAAUGCAACCUUGCAAAAGGACCACUCUUCUGGAGCCAAGAUUCUAGGACAUUGGCUUUGUUCCAAGACCGUAUAAAUCUUUUGUUUUACCUUGGAAAGAGUCGCAGUCACAAGUAGCAUUGAAAGAAAAGCAGCCUCUUUGAAAAGUUCCGUAUUGUAGCAAGGAGGGCCAAAUGCCAUCACCUCGGCGAAUGGCCUCUCCUCUGGACUCAGGGUGGUCUCACUUCUCCGCCUGCCCAUGUUUCUGCCACGCCCUCCACAACUAAAUGGAAGCAUUUUAAGAGCAGGAGCAGUGUCCAGUUAUCUGUGUAGCGGGGAUAAGGACAACAAUCCUAACCUUUAUUGAAUGCAAUCUGUGUCAGGAUUUUUUUUGUUUUGUUUUUUGUUUUUUGUUUUUUGGAGAAGUAGAGGGGCUGGGGAGAGGCAGCCCACUUUAGCUGUUAAAAGGAACCAAGGUGUCUUUGUGAAGCAUGUCAGAGGAAGCCCAUGCACACCUGGACUCAGUUUCCCUCCAAUGUCCUGAGGAGGUGGGUGGCACUUUGCUGGGUCUCAGGGUUAUGCCUGGGAGCUGUGUUGAGUUUUUCAUCACCUGGGGGACAUGCCCUAUCCUUCAUGACAUCAGCAGCAAGUGACCAUCACCUGUAUAUCCUUGCCAGCACCCUGGGAAGUCUGAAGGUAAACUGAGGACGGGAGCCAUCAUCUGUGGUUAGCUGCUUAUAAAGAAAUCUCAGUUUGUCCAUACAGAGGAGCAAAUAAACUGGCACAAGUCAGCUGGCUACUCUAUGUAUCUUAACCUAGUGUAGUUGUUGAGUUGUUAUGGGACACGAUUGAGGUGUUGGAACAUUUUAUACCUAAAAGCUCUAAGGUGACGAUUUUCCUGAGCCCUCCCUGAAACCUGAGAUUACAAUCAAUAUGAGUAGAGAUAGAAUAUACUAUUUCUGAUGAAAGCACGCCAGCUCCGUACACUUGAAGCUUACGACCGUGUUCUAACAACCAGGUACUAAACUACUAAUGA